UUGGUGGAGAGAAGGAUUCCUGACAUUUGACAGUCACUGUUUUCCAUUGAGAUCUGGUUAAAGGAUGUUGGAUGCAGAUACGUAGUAGAUCUUCAGCAUCUCAUAACGCUCCCUCCAAAUCUGCGAGUCAGAAGCAGUGGGAGGCGGGCUGACAAGUGGCGCCUGAACAGGGAUCUGAGGCUCAGAGCAGGGAAGCUGCUGAAGAUCUGAAGCUCAGAGCAGGGAAGCUGCUGAAGAUCGUCCAUCCAGUAAGACUCCUGGGAAAGCGUACGUAGGGACAGGAUCGAGACGUCAGGGACACUAUAAUGGGCCAAAAUGAAACUAAAGCAGGCCCGCUGCUCCCAUUCCUGCUGGGUCUGCUUUCACAGCUGGGAUAUGGAAGGCCCAGAGAGGUGAUUUAGAUGCCUAUUUGACACACUUAGUGGCACGGGGUCCCCACCAGUAAGAUGGCAAACUUCCGGCUUCUCUUCGGGGG